AAGACUAUAGACCUGCGGAGUACCUGCGGAAGGAUCAUUAACAAACAAACUUUAAACUCUUUAUGUAAUUUUCUUUUUUUCCCUUAAAAAAGGAAAAAAAGUUAAUUACAUGAGGAACACCCUUAGUGUGAACUUGUUGAAGUAUUUAACAAUACUUGUAUUGUUAAAUUUUCUACAUUUUAAAACUACUUUAUAUACUUUUUUAUAUUAAAGUCUAAUAAAAGAGAAUCUUAACCGAUU
rnacentral:misc_RNA from 1 species